rnacentral:rRNA from 1 species
AGUGGACGCUGGCGGUAGGCCUAACACAUGCAAGUCGAACGGCAGCACAGUAAGAGCUUGCUCUUACGGGUGGCGAGUGGCGGACGGGUGAGGAAUACAUCGGAAUCUACUUUUUCGUGGGGGAUAACGUAGGGAAACUUACGCUAAUACCGCAUACGACCUACGGGUGAAAGCAGGGGAUCUUCGGACCUUGCGCGAUUGAAUGAGCCGAUGUCGGAUUAGCUAGUUGGCGGGGUAAAGGCCCACCAAGGCGACGAUCCGUAGCUGGUCUGAGAGGAUGAUCCGCCACACUGGAACUGAGACACGGCCCAGACUCCUACGGGAGGCAGCAGUGGGGAAUAUUGGACAAUGGGCGCAAGCCUAAUCCAGCCAUACCGCGUGAGUGAAGAAGGCCUUCGGGUUGUAAAGCCCUUUUGUUGGGAAAGAAAAGCAGCAGGUUAAUACCCCGCUGUUCUGACGGUACCCAAAGAAUAAGCACCGGCUAACUUCGUG